UACGGGGGGGGGCAAGCGUUGUUCGGAAUUACUGGGCGUAAAGGGCUCGUAGGCGGCCAACUAAGUCGGAUGUGAAAUCCCCAGGCUCAACCUGGGAACUGCAUCCGAUACUGGAUGGCUUGAAUUCGGGAGAGGGAUGCAGAAUUCCAGGUGUAGCGGUGAAAUGCGUAGAUAUCUGGAGGAAUACCGGUGGCGAAGGCGGCAUCCUGGACCGACAUUGACGCUGAGGAGCGAAAGCCAGGGGAGCGAACGGG
rnacentral:rRNA from 1 species